CCUACCUCUAUUGUUGCAUUGCCGAGCGGAGCAGAUCCCCUAAAGGAGCUUCAGUUUUCUGUACCCGGACGGACUGACAGGGAGUGCUCUCUCUGUGAGCACCUCCUGUCAGUCUGGCCAGGUACAGGAAACAGAAGCUCCUGUACCGCGCUCUGCUCCACUACACUCUGUACACACUGACAGUCACACACUCAAUGACAAACACACAGACGCCACUGACAGACACAGA